rnacentral:rRNA from 1 species
CGCAACCCUUGCCUUUAGUUGCCAGCAGUUCGGCUGGGCGACUCUAAAGGGACUGCCGGUGUUAAACCGGAGGAAGGUGGGGAUGACGUCAAGUCCUCAUGGCCUUUAUGACCAGGGCUACACACGUACUACAAUGGCCGAUACAAAGGGCAGCGACACUGCGAGGUGAAGCCAAUCCCGUAAAAUCGGUCUCAGUCCGGACUGGAGUCUGCAACUCGACUCCAUGAAGUUGGAAUCGCUAGUAAUCGUGGAUCAGCAUGCCACGGUGAAUACGUUCCCGGGCCUU